rnacentral:rRNA from 1 species
GACAGAGGUGCCGAGCGUUAGGCGGAAUCACUGGGCUUAAAGCGUGUGUAGGCGGAGUUCUAAAGUACCUUGUGAAAUCCCACGGCUUAACCGUGGAACUGCUUGGUAUACUGGUUCUCUUGAGCCACCUAGGGGCAACCGGAACAAACGGUGGAGCGGUGAAAUGCGUAGAUAUCGUUUGGAACGCCAAUGGUGAAAACAGGUUGACUGGG